rnacentral:rRNA from 1 species
UACAGAGGUCCCAAGCGUUGUUCGGAUUCACUGGGCGUAAAGGGUGCGUAGGCGGUCGGGUAAGUCUGACGUGAAAUCUUCAAGCUCAACUUGGAAACUGCGUCCGAUACUAUUCGGCUAGAGGAAUGGAGGGGAGACUGGAAUACUUGGUGUAGCAGUGAAAUGCGUAGAUAUCAAGUGGAACACCAGUGGCGAAGGCGAGUCUCUGGACAUUUCCUGACGCUGAGACACGAAAGCCAGGGGAGCAAACGGG